UUCCUGGUCACCGUCGAACUUGGCCAGAAAGCCAAAAGGGCUGGCAACGACCACAUAGGGAGGUCUCUCUUCCACUCUGAUCCCCAAGCGCAGAUCCAUGGGAAGAUCAACUCUGGCUCCGUUCACCUUAGGAGAGGAGAAGAGCAAUCAUCAUUCCACCUAAUUACAACAACCAGAGCUGAGCCCAGCUUAAACCCUGUUCCUCAGUUUAGGACAUGUGAAACCUCAAACUUCGUCAUCAUCACUGCCUCCCAGAGCUCUCUGUUGGGCAUGGAGAGGCCACGUGCAGGUUUUGGAAGGACACAGCCACUGAGUUGAGAGCUGUCCAGGCCUCGCUCCCGCGAUGUUCGUUCCUCGUCGUCACAGAGAACUGCUCGGAGGCGUUUGUGCAGGUCUCCACUGCUGUGUAGUUGCACGCCCCCUGGAAAUGGUACAGCCUCCCAUCAAAGGUGGUGUAGUGUGGGUCCCCAUAAAUGUGGCAGGUGGCCGUGUCUGGAACGUGGCAGCCGAGGAUCCCAUUCUGCACCUUGCAGAUCUGGCCCCUUUGGCACGUCUCCGCGUUGCAAACUAAGCUGCCAUUUCCCGCGCAGUGACAUCGGCCGAGGCAGUCCGACUGCCAGAAGGUUUCCCCUUUCUGUUGGAGAUGGGCAGAGAAGAACAGUUAGAAAGGGCUGCGGUGGCUGCCAGCUGCAGCAGACUCUGCAGCGGCCAAAAGGCUUGGACACUCCCUGGCAACCAACCUCAUAGUAGUCAUCUCCCGCGAGGCAGCCGCAGUCCUCCACCGACACGCACUGUCCGCCGCUCAGGACAAACCCUUCCUUGCACUCGCAGCCCUCCACGCAAUGCUCGCUGCAGUGCUCUGGGGCCAGCGGCUUGGAACAAGUGGCUGGGCAGGGGCUGGUGCAUAGCUUGUAGUGGCUAUUGGGAGGGCAAGGGAGCGCUGCGAAGGAAAGUGGGACACGUCAGGGCAUCCGGCCCACCCCACUCUACUCUGAGUGCCAGCGGCUCUCCGAGACUCAAGGCAAAGGAGGGCCUUCCCCAGUUUGGCUAGCUGUGAACUGGGCAAUGCCAGGACCGACCUGGCCCUUAACACAUGCAAAGCCAUGGGCUGUAUCCCUGCACUGUGGGACCUCGAUGUAGAUCAGCCUUUUCUGCAGCUGGCUGUGGGUGAUGCCAAACACCAGGUUGGGGAAGGCUGGACUAGACUGUCACAUCCUCCACUGGCCAGGCUUGCUGGGGCUGAUGGGAGUUGUAUGUCAGCAACACUGCAGGGCCAAUCAUUCCCCACCACUGCCCUCAAGGGUCGCAGGCUGCUCUCAGUUUAUCUUGGGGGAAAGGUGGGAUAUGAGACCCUUAAAUAAGUAUAUACAUAAAAUUAAGCUGAGUUGUCAACCGGGUCUUACUUGCAUACGCUAGAGGAGCAAAGUUCCUGUCCCUAAACUAGCAGGAAGAUGUCAGUUGACCCUGCUCUUUAUGGGCCUCAGCCAUUGGAAGCAAUGUGGAGGGUAUCUUUCCAGAACCAUCCUUGAGUAUAACUUCUGGCGCCUACUCACGGCAGAAAGUGGCAUUCCUCCAGCCAGGCAGGUCCACACCAGCUCUUUGGCAGGCAUCAGCGUAGGUCUCCAGAGCAUUGCACAAGAGCUCCUGGUUUCCAUUCAGGGCACACAGGUCAAAGACGCAGCUCUCGAAGAAGCUCAGAGGGUUGAUAACCGACAGGCAGACUGCAAAGGGCCCCUGGCUGCUGGUUAAUAGCCCACAGAAGGCAUCUGUCCCAUAGAGAUCCAUCUGCUCUGGGGUGCAGGGCUGGGGUGGUAGUACUACACCACAACCAGGGAGGUCAUACUCUGCACCUUGCACUUGCCAGCUUGUUCCUAGCUCAUUGGAAUCCUUGGCCUGAUGUCCAUUGGGCAUCAUGUAGUCAUCCUGCCAGCGGUUGUUGAAGUUCCCACACAUGCCGCAGGUCCUGUUGAAGUAGGCACUGGGCACCCUGAUUUCCACUGAGUGGUCGGUGUCGUAGGAGACACUCAGCCGGAAAUUCGUCUCCAGGGUCACGUACCGUCCGUUCCUCCCCACGCUCACGGAGCCGUUAAGCCUCUGCACCGGAAGAGUCGUCCAAAUUUUAUUGACCUGCAGAAAGGAACAGAGAGUCCAGCAGAGGGUUGGAAUUCUUGAAGAUCAAAAGGGUGAUAUCCUCAAGGAGAGCACACACACCCUCAUGCCAAAUUUCAGCCCAUAAAACUAUCUAUGAACACAGGAAAUACACCUCGUGGAUCAGAUGGGGAAAGUAAAGUUAUGCGCAUUGGAGCAAAACAUCUUAAUUUCACAUAUACGCUCCCAGGGUCUGAACCUGUGGGGACUGACCUUGGGGACAUAGGUCCCACAAGAGGCACUCAUGGCCACCAACUCGGAUGGCUUAAAAAGAUUAGACAAACUCUUGGAGGAUAUGGCUACCAGUGGCUACAAGCAAGGCUGUUGUAAAGGAACGCAGUGAUUCGUCCACUCAGAAAAGGCACCUUGAGUAGCACCAUUAGGAAGGGUGAAGGGGUGUGUGAGGGGGGAGCAGCCUGCUUGUAUUCCAGGUGCGUCAUGCUUGACAAAGUGUAGCUUUCCCAACUAGAUGUAGUUCUCCGUGAAAGGAGAACACAUGCCCCAUUUUCUUACAAGCAUUUCCUGGCAGAGGCACGAUGGACACUUACCAGGACUUGGCUCGGGUGGUUUUUGAGGAUUUCAAUCUUCUGCCCGAAAACCUGCACCAGGACCCUCUGGACGUAAGACACGGAGGGGUUCCCCCAACGGUGCUCAUUCUUGGCCUCGAUGCGGAAGGACGGCAGUCCUGUGGCAUUGGCACACACCUUGGCCAGGGUGUAGGUGCAGUUCCCCAUGAAGUGGUGUGUCUGUUUGUCAAAGGUGUUGUAAUGGGGGUCGUUGUGGACGCGGCAGACCCCGUAUGUAUAAGCGUAGCAGCCGGGGACACCCUGCUGGACCCCGCAGUAGUGAUCCUCUGGGCAGGAAGCGCCGGAGCAGAUCAGUUGGCUGCCUCGGCUGGGGCACGUGCAUUUGGAGGAGCAGGUGUCAUCGGUCCAGAACUCGGAGCCCACGGGGUAGUGCUUGCCCUGGUGCCAGCAUCCGCACUGCUGGCUGGGCACGCAGGCGCCGUUGUAGAGGAGGAAGCCACUGUCACAGGCACAGGCCUCGGUACACGGCAGGCUACAGGUGGCAGGAGCCACUGGGUCCGCGCAGGAAGCUGGGCAGGCACUGACGCAAGGCUCGUAGUGGCUGUUGGGCGGGCAGGAAAUGGCUGCAGAAAGGGAGCAGAUCUUCGUAAGGCCUCAAUCCCAAAUAUCCAGCCUUUCUCACAAGAACAGUCCCCAUGAGACAUACGUUACGUUAUCGGGCAAAACGUCAGAAAUAACCCUUAUUGCUACAGAAUCCAGUAUCCUAAAACUGUUUAGAUUUAUAGGAAUGUAUGAUAUUAUGCUGGCUCAGACUAUUGUCUAUCCAGCCCAGCAUUACAUGCUCUGACUGGCAGCAGCUCUCUGGAGUUCUAAAUAGGGCGUCUUGCAUGAAAAGUAUGCUCUCCAGCCUUGGUCUACGGACCCUCUGCUGCAAUGGCAGGUUGGGUGAGAGACAGUCAGCUGUCACAAUGGUCAUCAUGACAGGCCAACAUAGUUUGAACUUGUCCUGAUUACACCAACGCCGUUGUGGUUCGCCGGUCACAGAAGUGACCCCCACCCCUCCAAAGCCUUUUCUGGGACUCUUGGCAAAUGUUCACAUGUAGCCAUACAAUCAUGUGGGGUACAACCAUUUUGAACAUUUUUUAAACCGUAUCCCAAGAACUCCCACACAAAAUUCUGUGCAGGUGGAUCAGGGCCGGUCCUGUACCAGUGGCAUCCAGAGGAUAGAUAGUCAGUCAAAUUGGACUUGGACUAUAACAUCACUGAGGGCAAAUGAAGCAAUGAUGCUCAUUGAAAAAGGUGGUAGUGGGGGGCAGAGGAAUGAACAUCCCCAUCUCCAAGGCAAUCGGGUUAGGGGUGGAAAAUCCUGUCAGUUUCGGGUUUUCCACUUUCUUAUUUUUCAAAUCUUAUAUAUAUCCUCAUGGAAAUUCUCCAGGAGUUUAGUGUGAAUGUCUCCUGAUAAACACAUUUCUGAAGGCCGUUUUGACUAAUGUACACAUCUUUGCUCACAGAUUAAUUGUUAGGCAUGCUUUCCCCUGACAGGCAUUUUUGUAACCAUCCGUUGGUUGGCGAGGCACGUUGCAAAAUUUGAAUCAGGGCGAAUUUAGAGGGAUGUUUGCUUCUCCUAUUGCUUCAGAAAGUGCGGACUUGAUAAAUUCAGCUGCAAAUGGGAACUGAACCAAAUUUCUCGCCCCUCCCUACGUUGGGCUGAGAGCAACGCAGUGCAAGCGGCUGGCCUUAGGAAAGGGGACAUCCCCCCUCCCUUCUUUAUAUGCCCGUUUAGAUGCACAUUUGAUGUACGGAGGGGGAUUUCUGUUGCUGAGGGAAUCACACGAUGCUGGCGGGAUAGACUGCAUCAACCCAAAGGGGAUCCCCCAGCCUUGAACACUGUCCCUGGAAAAGGCAGUGACACGGGAGCACUUUUCUCACUCUUGUGAAAAGCAAACCAUGACCCCCGUGUAGUUCAUCCCUCACCAAAACCUUCCUCAGCUGAUCUUUUGCACCCGAGGCUGCGGAGCAGUCUAUUCCACAGAACUUACGGCAGAAGGUGGCAUUCCUCCAGGGCUGCACAGCAACCCCCAGGGACCGACAGGCAUCUGCAUAGGAUUGCAGGCUCUUGCAAAGGGAUCCCGGAUCCAGGUGCAGGGCGCAUUGAUCAUAAAGGCAGCCGGUGAAGUGCCCUGUUGGGUCUAAGGCGCUGUGGCAAUGUCUAAACGGCCCAGUCACAUCCGUGAUGAGUCCACAGAAGCUGCUGCUCUGGGCAGCUUCCUUCUCAGCCUCCGUGCAGACAGGAUCGGGCCCUGAGGAACACCUGGGAGACAAAAGCACCACCUGCAUUAGGUACCUGACGUUCCACCUUUGGAAAAACAUUCAGACUUCUGCCAUGUGGGCCACGAACCUGGUGUGGUUGGAGACCUGCCAGCUGUUCCCCAGACUUGUGGAGUCUGUCUCAGGUUCCCCACGCGGGUUCAGGAAAUCGUCAGUGGGGUCCCCGUUGUAGUUUCCGCACAUGCCGCAAACCCGGCCCCUGUAAGGACUUGGGAGCGAGACUUCCACUUGAUGGUCUCCGUCAAACUUGACUCUCACCCCAAAGUCCGUGGAGACCACCGUGUAGAAGCCACUGGGCAAAAUCUGCACUCCAGCCGUCGGUGUGGAGGGGACGAUGGCUUGCUUCCCAUUGACCUGGAGGCAGAGUCAGACACAGCCAUCAGAGACUGGCAUUGGAGGGAUGUUAUUUAUACGCACACAUCCCCUCUUCAGUAGAACAAACGCAUGCGCCACCACGCACCUUUGCUCCUCCUCCUUUCUCCAGCGUCACCCGGAUGCCAAGGACAUCAACAUCCACGCUCUGAACGUAGGACACCUGCGUGUUGCCCCAUCUGUGUUCGUUCGCUGCUUCCACGUUGAAAUAGGGCAGGGAACUCUUUGGGUCGCAGAGCUGGGAGAGGGUGUAGGUGCAGUUGCCCAUGAAGUGAUGGGUUUGCCUGUCGAAAGUGUAGUAAUGAGGGUCUCCUGACACCAGGCAAGACUCUGCGAGGAGGAGAAGGACAUCAGAAGCACAGCAGGUUCACGCCGGGGACAUUGGGAGCAGGAAGAACCCAAGGUCAUUGGGGCUGGGCAUCCGUCCAUCAGCGGAAAUGCACUACUUGGCUCUCCCUUCAGCCCCCAGAGCUCAGGGGAGGCCCCCAAUCUAGCCCUAGGCCUCUGCCAAAUGGGCCGCCAUUCCCUGGGCUUCCAGAGCAAUGCCUGCCCAGUGCAGGAGAAUGACUGGAUACAGGACGAGUACCACCUCCAUCAAGUAUCGGACACCCAUAUAAUUCAGAAGUGCACUGCAGUGGCAACGAGCUCUCGAUUCUAGGAAACUAACCUGUGGUGGGAGGGGCUGGGCUGCUUGCUGUGAUGACAGCGGUGGUCAUGGGGGCAGCGGUGGUGGGGGAGCUGCUUGUUGUGGGUACUGCUGGUGUGUCUCCUAUGGUGAGAAAUGGCAUUUCUUCUAUGGAUCUUCAUUUUUUCUUGUUCUUUAUUACACCAGCACAUAAUGAAAGCACUCGAUUUUCCAACAGAAAUGUUGUUGGGCUUCCUUUCUACCUUAACUCUGACGAUACUGGUUAAUUUCACCAUAUGUAUUACGUCCCAUACGUUUGAUAUCCAAUCCUCUAAGUCAGAGUUCUUAUUCCCCACCCCACACCCAAUUACUAUACAGCCACAAGAGUUGUUGUAUACUUUAGUCAGCACGAAUUUUUCGCAUUCUGCAAUGUUAAAUUGAAAAUACCCCCCACAGAAUCAUAGAAUAGUAGAGUCGGAAGGGGCCUAUAAGGCCAUCAAGUCCAACUCCCUGCUCAAUGCAGGAAUCCAAAUCAACGCAUUACCGACAGAUGGCUGUCCAGCUGCCUCCUGAAUGCCUUCACUGUCGGAGAGCCCACCACCUCCCUGGGUCAUUGGUUCCAUUGUCGUUUCACUCUAAUAUUUAGGAAGUUUUUCCUGAUGUCCAGUCGAAAUCUGGCUUCCUGUAACUUGAGCCCAUUAUUCUGUGUCCUGCACUCUGGGAUAAUUGAGAAGAGAUCCUGGCCCUCCUCUGUGUGACAACCUUUCAUGUACUUGAAGAGUGCUAUCAUAUCUCCCCUCAGUCUUCUCUUCUCCAGGCUAAGCAUGCCCAGUUCUUUCAGUCUGUCCUCAUAGGGCUUGGUUUCUAGUCCCCUGAUCAUCCUUGUUGCCCUCCUCUGAACCUGUUCCAGUUUGUCUGCAUCCUUCUUG